UUUUAAAUAAAGACUAGAACAAAAGAUUUAACAUUUUAAUUUUUUUAUUUGAAUUAUUUAUCAAAAUUAUUUUAUAUGUAAAAAUACAUAUAUGUAAAAGAAAGACGACAAGACCCUAUUGAACUUUACUUAAGUUUAACUGGGGCAGUUAGUUAAUUAUUAUUUUAACUUAUCACUCUCAAAAAAAAACCAUAACUUUGAUAAAUCAGUUACCAUAGGGAUAACAGCGCAAUUAAAUUUUAAAGCUCUCAUUUAAAAAAUAGAUUACGACCUCGAUGUUGAAUUAAUUUUCUAUUUAAAGCAAAUUUUAAAAAAGAAAGUCUGUUCGACUUAUAACAAAUUACAUGAUUUGAGUUCAGACCGGCGUAAGCCAGGUCGGUUUCAAUCUUCUAAAAACUUUUUAACAGUACGAAAGGACCUUAAAAUAUAAUUAAAUUAAUUAAUUGGCAGAUUAAUGCAUUAGGUUUAGAAUCUAAUAAAACUUAA
rnacentral:rRNA from 1 species